rnacentral:rRNA from 1 species
CGGGGUGCCCAGGCGCGAAAACUUCACAAUGGGGGCAACCCCGAUGAGGGAAUUCCAAGUGCUAGCACUUUUUGUGUUAGCUGUUCUCCUGUCUAAAAAACAGGAGAAGUAAGGGCCGGGUAAGACGGGUGCCAGCCGCCGCGGUAAUACCCGCGGCCCGAGUGGUGGUCGAUAUUAUUGAGCCUAAAACGUUCGUAGCCGGUCUUGUAAAUCCUUGGGUAAAUCGGCCAGCUUAACUGUCCGAAGUCCGGGGAGACUGCAAGACUUGGGAUCGGGAGAGGUCAGAGGUACUUCUGGGGUAGGGGUAAAAUCCUGUAAUCCUAGAAGGACCACCGGUGGCGAAGGCGUCUGACUAGAACGAAUUCGACGGUGAGGAACGAAGCCCUGGGGCGCAAACGGGAUUAGAUACCCCGGUAGUCCAGGGUGUAAACGCUGCGGGCUUGGUGUUGGGGGUCCUUAGUGGGCGCCCAGUGCCGGAGAGAAGUUGUUAAGCCUGCUGCUUGGGGAGUACGUCCGCAAGGAUGAAACUUAAAGGAAUUGGCGGGGGAGCAC